rnacentral:rRNA from 1 species
UACGUAGGGUCCGAGCGUUGUCCGGAUUUAUUGGGCGUAAAGAGCUCGUAGGCGGCUCGGUAAGUCGGAUGUGAAACCUCCAGGCUCAACCUGGAGACGCCAUCUGAUACUGCCGUGGCUUGAGUCCGGUAGAGGAGCAGGGAAUUCCUGGUGUAGCGGUGAAAUGCGCAGAUAUCAGGAGGAACACCAGCGGCGAAGGCGCUGCUCUGGGCCGGUACUGACGCUGAGGAGCGAAAGCGUGGGGAGCGAACAGG